AGUGCUCUUGGGCCCCUUCGCUUCAUGUUAUCUCUCAACCAAGUGCACUCCAGUAAAGCGUGAUCUGAGAAGAAUCCUCGUGUCGUGGUCGUUCUUUCUCGCUGGGCGAGGAGUUCGCCGCAACGUCCAAUUUGGGAAUGGAUACUCCACAGUCACUUAUUCUCGACUCUAUAAUACUUUGUGUUUCUCUACAACAGCCGUUGUGUUAUGGAAAAAGACAUUUGCUUGAUUAGGACUUCGACUGUGAGAAGUGUUAUAAAUUUCCCUUUGUUUCCUCCUACUGGACUUUAAACAGAUUGAGUGUUGAGUCAUGACUCAAGAUUUUUGAGUAAAGAGGACUUGAUCAAGAAAAUAUUUUAAAGAUUGCCUUUGGUCAGACCUUGGAAUAUUUAAGAAUGUAGCCAGCAGGAACAAGCUUCUCCUAUGUUUAUUUCAUGUACACAUCUACAAGUUUUCACAGAGGAUUCCUGCCCUAGGAUCUAAGCCUAAAAGCAUAAAUACAACAUUCUGUUAUGCUUUUUUU